CUGCCUUGCCCAUUCCUUACCAUAGAAAACCACAAUAAAGCCUCUAGCCCGUUUCCCCUCACUCCCUCUGCCUCCUGAACAACCCUGAUGCUUCCCUGUGUGGUCCCUUGUGGCAUAGAGUGCCCCCUCUUCUCAGGAACUAUGGUGAUGGCCAGGGUGCACAAGACCCCGGUGAAGGAUGGGAAAAAGAGCAAGAAGAUGAAGAAAGUCAUCAUCUGUGAGGCCCGCCAGGCUUUGCUCGGAGGCUGGAAAUUCAUCAUCAGGCUGAUCUGAAGAGAGAGAGGCAGCCACCUCCCAUCUGCAGCCGGAGCAGCGGCAGAGGGACCCCAGCCAGGCCUGGCUUCCUGACACCUUUGCAGAGCCCCCUUCCCCAGCUUUAAGCGCCACCAGGUCACAGGUGACUGAACAAAGCUGAUUGAUGGCAAUGUCGGACUGACUCACAUUUUUGGAGUAGAACAUGAUGAAAAGCAUAAUCAUUUGGAUAAAGGGCAGCAGGGGGCAGAAGAAGAUGCCAAUCCUGUGAGGGAGAGAGGUAGAGACGGGAUUUCACCAUGUUAGCCAGGAUGGUCUCGAUCUCCUGACCUCGUGAUCCACCCGCCUCGGCCUCCCAAAGUGCUGGGAUUACAGGCGUGAGCCACCACACCCAGCUAAUGUGUGUCACUUCUAAGCUGGAGCACUUAAUGCCCCUGUGAGACUCU
rnacentral:lncRNA from 1 species